rnacentral:rRNA from 1 species
AGGUCAAGCUACAAAGGGCGCAUGGUGAAUGCCUUGGCAUCAGGAGCCGAUGAAGGACGCGAUAAGCUGCGAUAAGCUUCGGGUAGACGCACAUAGUCAGAGAUCCGAAGAUUUCCGAAUGAGGAAACUCACAUGGGAAACCCCAUGUAUCGUAAAGUGAAUACAUAGCUUUAUGAAGGUAAACCCAGGGAACUGAAACAUCUAAGUACCUGGAGGAAGAGAAAGAAAAAUCGAUUUUCUUAGUAGCGGCGAGCGAAAGGGAAAGAGCCCAAACCAAAGAUUUAUCUUUGGGGUUGCGGACAGAACAUUAACGAGAAAUUAUGGUUAACCGAACACAACUGGAAAGUUGGACCGUAGGGGGUAAUAGUCCUGUAGGUGAAAAUUAUAAUUAUCAAGUUCUGAUCCAGAGUACCACGAGACACGUGAAACCUUGUGGGAAGCAGGGAGGACCACCUCCCAAGGCUAAAUACUACCUGAUGACCGAUAGUGAAGCAGUACCGUGAGGGAAAGGUGAAAAGAACCCCGGGAGGGGAGUGAAAUAGAACCUGAAACCAUGUGCCUACAACCGAUCAAAGCACCUUAUGUGUGUGAUGAUGUGCUUUUUGUAGAACGAGCCAACGAGUUACGGUAUGUAGCAAGGUUAAGUACUUAAGGUACGGAGCCGAAGGGAAACCGAGUCUUAAUAGGGCGACUAGUUGCAUGCUGUAGACCCGAAACCGGGUGACCUAUCCAUGGCCAGGUUGAAGCGAGGGUAAAACCUCGUGGAGGACCGAACCACGUUGCUGUUGAAAAAGCAUGGGAUGAGCUGUGGAUAGCGGAGAAAUUCCAAUCGAACUCGGAUAUAGCUGGUUCUCCUCGAAAUAGCUUUAGGGCUAGCGUCGGAAAAUGUGAGUACUGGGGGUAGAGCACUGAAUGGGCUAGGGGGCAUAGCGCUUACCGAACCUUAUCAAACUCCGAAUACCAGAUACUAUCAGUCCGGCAGUCAGACUGCGAAAGAUAAGUUCCGUAGUCAAAAGGGAAACAGCCCAGAUCGUCAGCUAAGGUCCCAAAGUGUAAGUUAAGUGGAAAAGGAUGUGGGAUUUCUAAGACAACUAGGAUGUUGGCUUAGAAGCAGCCACUCAUUAAAAGAGUGCGUAAUAGCUCACUAGUCAAGAGAUCCUGCGCCGAAAAUGUCCGGGGCUCAAACUUACCACCGAAGCUACGGGUUCACACAUUAGUGUGAGCGGUAGAGGAGCGUCGUAAUCGGGCUGAAGUCGUACCGUAAGGAGCGGUGGACUGAUUACGAGUGAGAAUGUUGGCAUUAGUAGCGAGAUGUGGGUGAGAAUCCCACAGGCCGAAUACCUAAGGUUUCCUCAGGAAGGUUCGUCCGCUGAGGGUUAGUCGGGACCUAAGCUGAGGCCGAAAGGCGUAAGCGAUGGACAAUCGGUUGAUAUUCCGAUACCACUAUUAUCGUUAUUAUCGAUGGUGUGACGGAGAAGGAUAGGAUGUGCUAGCUAUUGGAUGCUAGUCUAAGCGUUUAGGGAGUUAGAAUAGGCAAAUCCGUUCUAACAAUUCUGAGGCGUGAUGGGGAA